rnacentral:misc_RNA from 1 species
AACAUCGCGCACCUGCGGGAACCUGCGGAGGGAUCAUUACAGAGUUGCAAAACUCCCUAAACCAUUGUGAACGUUACCUAAACCGUUGCUUCGGCGAGCGGCCCGGGUCCUUCCCGGCGCCCAUCGGCCCUCGCGGGCGCCCGCCGGAGGUAAACCAAACUAUUGCAUUGUAUGGCCUCUCUGAGUCUUCUGUACUGAAUAAGUCAAAACUUUCAACAACGGAUCUCAGAUCGGAAGAGC